rnacentral:tRNA from 2 species
AGCUUUAUAGUUUAAAAAAAAUUUUAAUCUUGUAAAUUAAAGAUAAAUAUAAUUUUAAAGCUU